GAUCUUAUCUUGCAGGAAACCAUGAAUUCACUGUGGAGAAGGAUGAUUGGGAUUUCGCUCUGGAGAAGCUAGAAAUUGGAUAUGAAAUCUCCCAAUUUUUAGAUAUUGGAAAAGCAGCCCUGAUGGCUUGGACCCGGCUCUAAACUUGGAAUUGUCUCACAUGGACCUGAAUCGCCCUCACCCACGACGAGAUUAAUCUCGCCGCAUUGAAACCUCUGGAAACCUGGCAUGUAAUUUCCUUUUCAGAUUGGAAGUCCACCUAAGAAACAGCCACAGCCCGUUAACAAAUGUGGGGAGGCGGGGUGGGUAAGCUUGUUUGCAAUCCAAGACACACAAAUAAAA